rnacentral:lncRNA from 1 species
GCGAUUUCUCCCCCUCUCCGGCGAUUCCGGCCUUUCUCCACCUCUCUUCAACGGCGAAUCCUCUCCUCACCCUCAUAUCUCUUCCCCAAACCCCAAAUCAUGUAAGAAUCAUCCCAAACCUUCUUUUUUAUCAAUUGUUUAGGGUUUUGGAAGUUGAUCUCGGAUUUUAGGUUGUUUGAUUGAAAAUUUUAGGAUUGAAUGGAUAGUUUAGGAUAUAUAAGUUAGGAUUGUUGUUUGGAUUGUUGUUUUAGUUUUUUUUGGAACAUUUUUUGAUUUUUAAAAACGUUUUUUGAUUUUUAAAAACGUUUUGUGAUUUUUUAAAACGUUUUGUGAUUUUUAAAAACGUUUUUUGAUUUUUAAAAACGUUUUGUGAUUUUUUAAAACGUUUUUUUUUUAUUUUUAAAAACGUUUUUCAAGUUUCCAGUAAUGAAAUAUAUAUAAUAAAACGUUUUUAAAUUUUUUUUAAAAUAGUUAACAACAUUUUUCUAUAUUUAUAAAUUUUUUAUAAUUUUGUAUAAUAUAUAUAUAUAAAAGGUUUAAUAGUUUUUUUUAAAACGUUUAUAAAACCUUUUGUAAAUAUAUAAAUGAAAACAUUAAAAAUAGAAAUGAUUUGAAAAUAUGUUUGAUGGGUUAAUUUUUUUUUUUUAGGGCCGAGGAUGAAGCCCGCACCGCAGCCCGUCUUCGACGUAGUUCGGUGAGCAGUUCCCGUGCAUCGGGAUCGUCUCAUGACUCGGUUCCCGCAUAUAUUCCCGCUCCAGCUCCCUCAGCCCCUCACGCUGCCCCUCACGCUGCUGCUCAACAGGAUCCGGGGGUCAUGCCGGUUCAUCUAUUGGUUCAACAACCAGGUCGAGAGCAUCUCCCGUUUCUCCAAACCAACCCACGACGAG